GAGGUGGGAGGAGUGCUUGAGCCUGGGAGGUUGAGGCUCAGUAAGCUGUGAUUGCACCACUGCACUCCAGCCUGAGUGACAGAGCAGGACCCUGUCUC
rnacentral:miRNA from 1 species